rfam:Salmo salar isolate Sally breed double haploid chromosome ssa15, whole genome shotgun sequence.
UAGCUCAGUUGGUAGAGCAUGGUGUUUGCAACGCCAUUGAGGGUGGGUUCGAUUCCCAC